ensembl:lncRNA
UGUGUAUCCUUAGGAUUCCAGGCCUCGAGCCCUCCAACAGUGGCCCACUUUUCGUAAAUUUCCCAUGUAGGCCUGAGAAUUUCGCACUGCCUCUGUCUAUUAGCUUCUGUGUACAUACACAGGUCACCAAAAUAUGCAGUGACUGCUUAAAUAAAAGCCUUUAUUACAGUAACAGAUACAUUGCCACUAAUCCCCCUCAAAAUCCUCCCCCUCACUUCAAACACAUUUAUCCCAUCACUCUUGCCACUUUUCUAGAGUGGUUCUGGAAGUCCUCUUUCAUGAAUGUCUUUAUGAGGUGUGUCCAAAAAUACAGCAAAUGUUGCUGCCCAGUGUCGCCCAACAGAAAGGCGAGCUCAUAAAAUAUGACAGUGUGACCUGGUCUACUGGCACUGUGCAACUUCUGGCUCUUCCCCGAAGUCAAAAGGAUCAUGAAAGAUAAACGUUUUGUUUCACCUCAGGACACUGAAGCAGCCUCAGCAGGGCAUCUAAAGAUAUUCAUGCAGGAACAGACUCAAAAAAAAAUCUUACAAACUUUGGGCUGCCCAAAGCCUGAGUCCAACCUGCAGAGAGAACUCCUUUGUCUUGGUGAAGUCCUAGUCACCAGCGAGGUGCCUGCAGAGUUCUAAGGCCUGCUCUUGGCAUUAAAGCUAGAUCAGAGGUGCAUGCACAGCCUGCCUCUGUCUGGUACCAUCCACACGCUUGUCAGCCUUGGCACCACUGCCCAUCUCCCGGGAUGUGCUGACCUUAGUCACCCGUGCUCCACUGAAGCCUUCAAGCUGGAAGGAAGGCCCUGGCUGAGCUCAGCAGUCUGCCCGGGCCUGCCCUGCUCCAGCUGUGUCCACUGGGCUCUUAGGGAAGGGCCAGGCCCAUGCCAGAUGAUCUGACUUGCUGGAAAAGGGAAAUUCUCAGCAUUCCUUCUGCAGGAGACAUUUGCCAACUACAAAGCAGUGAGGAACAGCUGGCUAGGGUUCCCUUGAGCAGCCAAAUGCAUCUUCAACCCCAACAGAGUCCAGGAUGGAAAAAGCGGGGUCAACUCUCAGUAACUGAAGUUCGUUGGCGAACAUGCAUCUGCUGUGGAGCAGGGACCCAGGAAAGGGGAGGCAGUGGGAGAGACCAUGGGAAGACACAGGACCACGCCCUGAAAUGCCCUCUCCAUGAACACAGACUUCCAUUUUGGGGAAAAUGUCUUCGUAUUCCCAGAAAUGACCCAAUGGAACAAUCAAAUUAUAUUAUUUUCUCCAUCAAUGCACAGUAACAGUUCCAGAUGGAAAGGGCCAAAAUCCUAUUUUUAACCCCAUCCUGACUCUCACACUCACUGAUGACCGGAAGUGCUCAGAAAGGUCCUUUCCCCAAUUCCUCGCUUGCUUUUCUUACUGGAGAGUGCUCAGUCCACCAGUGUGAACAUCCCAAGCCAGCCUAGACUGUCACAUUUCCCCUGGGGCAUUGCAGGGGUGUCCAGAGGGCUGCCAGGCCCUCUUCCCUCCCCUCCCACAGCCAGUGGGACAAUCUCCUGCCCACGAGCUACUUCCUAACAGACCCUCUUAGAAGCCUGUGCAUUUAGUUAAGCCUUAUAUUAUUGUGGUCUUUUGGCAAAGACAAAUUUUUCUUCUGGUCUCAG